rnacentral:rRNA from 1 species
UACGUAGGGUGCAAGCGUUGUCCGGAAUUAUUGGGCGUAAAGCGCGUGUAGGCGGCUUUGCAAGUCGGGGUGUGAAAGCCCUCAGCUCAACUGAGGAAGUGCGCCCGAAACUGCAGAGCUUGAGUGCCGGAGAGGGUGGCGGAAUUCCCCAAGUAGAGGUGAAAUUCGUAGAGAUGUGGAGGAACACCAGUGGCGAAGGCGGGCUUUUUGGUCUGUAACUGACGCUGAGGCGCGAAAGCGUGGGGGAGCAAACAGG